rnacentral:lncRNA from 1 species
UAAAGCUACAGAAACCUUUUGCAGAAAGCUGAGUCCUUGCCUAAUUAUUAUAACCCAUUGUCUUACAAACCUUGGGCAUUAGUCAAGGCGAAUUGAUUAUUGAUUAUUAUCAUCAAGAUAUAAAAUUCCUUUAACAAUUGGUCCUUCGAGCCGGAUUUCAAACUGCCGCUGUCGUUCCAAGGAGACACCGAAACCGUGCACGGGCGGAUGAAAUAUCCGUAAAUCACCUGGCCCUUUACUGUGGGUUCUUUACAGGACGGUGGCAAACUGGUACGCGACAGAGGUGGUGACGAGAUUCAACGAACAUUGAAAAACUCAGCUGCAAAUAACAAGGACCUGAGCCCUAGGACCAUGCCUCAGGACUACCUGGUAUGAUGACUCCUUGCUGUCCCCAGUCCACCUGGCCGUGCUGCUGCUCCAGUUUCAACUGUUCUGCCUGCGGCUAUGGAACCCUGACCUGUUCACCGGACGUGCUUGUUGCACCCUCGACAACUACUAUGAUUAUUAUUAUUUGACCAUGCUGGUCAUUUAUGAACAUUUUAACAUUUUAACAUUUUGACCAUGUUCUGUUAUAAUAUCCACCCUGCACAGCCAGAAGAGGACUGGCCACCCCUCAUAGCCUGGUUCCUCUCUAGGUUUCUUCCUAGGUUUUUGGCCUUUCUAGGGAGUUUUUCCUAGGGAGUUUUUCCUAGCCACCGUGCUUCUUUCACAUGCUUUGCUUGCUGUUUGGGGUUUUAGGCUGGGUUUCUGUACAGCACUUUGAGAAUAUCAGCUGAUGUACGAAGGGCUAUAUAAAAAUAAAUUUGAUUUGAUUUGAUUUGGUGACUUUUCCUGUGUGGUCUGAUCAGCCGCAAUGAAACGCCAUUUGGAUGGUGAAUUUAAGGUCAUUGGUGAUAUUGAUUUUAAGGGAAUUUGUAGAACUGAUAAUUAUGAUGGAGUUAAAGUUCUUAGACACAAUUGAAAAUUUGAACCAAUGAGAGGACUAUAAGGGCAAAGCCUUAGACUAAGGGUAGGCUUCCUUAAGUCUAUUUUCCUAGAACAAUAAGGGUACAAUAAUGUUUCUUGGUGGAGUAAAUCAGAUUAGUCAUUUUGAUCUGAUUAUGUUAUUUGAAAAUAUUUUGACCAGUAGCAGGGGUAUUUUUUACAUGAUCUAGAUAAGUUUAUUUUCCCUUAGGAAGUCAGCUGUGGUUGAAAGCAGUGUAAGAGAUUUAACACAACAAGGCUGUGGAAUUGAUAUAAUAGUAUUAUAUUUUGUUGUGAAUAAGUUUAAUAAUGGUAGACUUAUGUCAACAGGACAGGGAUAUAUGACAUCUGUAGGUGAUCUAGGAUCAUUGAGGGUAUUGUGAUAAUUUUAAGUAGGUAUGCAAUAUCUAGACAGGUUGAUUUUUCUAAAACUCAAGAGUGCAACCAAGGAGACAAUGAGACAUUUAGUCAAUAUUUGGAAACAACCCAUAUUAUGAGAAAAAGCUGGAGACAGAUAAAUAGAAGGGCAGACUGAGAAAUCCUCCCCUACACUGCUGAAACCUUCAGGGUUGGGGAGUAGCAGGAAGAAAGGAGGGGGGCCAGCAGGAGUAGAUAGGAAGAGAAUUUGGUUCACUAAGCUCUAGGAUAUUAAUUCAUGGAGAGACUAUCGGCUCCGUUGGCAGGCAUAUAUUUUAGUUUUGAUUUUAAGUUUAUGUUUGGUAAAUUCGAUAGGAGGAGAUUAGUAUCAUUUUGUUGAAAGUAAUUGUUACCCUAACUAAAAGGGCUUAGUUGGUUUCAGGUGUUAGACACUGAACCAUUGCCCAGACACUAUUCUGCACAGUAGGCCGAAAUAGUAGCAUUGACUAGAACCGGUGAAAUAAGAAAGGAGAGAAAAGUUACUAUUUACACAGACAAGCACAUAGACAUUUAAAACCAUACAAAACAGCACAGAUAAAUCUUAAAGAAGAUAAAACACUUGACAGAGAAUUGUUACAGAAUAGCCGAGGAUGAAGGCCCCAGGGAGAAUUGGACAUGUGGAAAAUGAAAGGGGGCAUCCUAUAAGAGAAGGUCUGACAUAAGGAUAAUUUACUUAUCCUAUCAAAGACAUUGUAUGGAUACGCAGCAAUAUUGAUACAUAGGCUAAGCAAUGUAUCAAGGGGAGGGAAGUAUAGUAGAGUAGUUAGGAAAGAGUGAUGGCCUAGAGGAUAAUUACUUAAAACACAUUUUUUUUUUGUAAGAAGAUCCAUUCCAACAUUUGGAAUUGGACUUAUUGAACUAUUCCGAAAUGAGGGGUGUUUAACAAGAAUAGAUAAGUAUAGCAAAUGGGUAGAAGCGUUCCCAACUUACUUGGUGGACAUGAUUAUGGUAGCUAAAAUAUUAAGUCAAGAUAUUAUCCCUAGAGUUGGUUUACUAGGAGCCAUCUCUUUAAAUGAUGGAUGACAUUUUAGCUAAUCGGGUUGAAUAAAUAGAAUGCCAGAGUUAGAGAUACCAGAACAGGUAGACAUAGAAAUUGAAGAAAUACUAACAGAACACAUGAGAAGACUGUUUGUUAACCAAACCCAUAUGUCCAAGAUUUUGUGUCCAACAGGUGAAUUACAGGAGAAGGUGAUUCACUCAAUCCAACCAGGAGACUGGGUGUGGAUCCAGUCCCUGAGGAGAAAAGACCGAAAGCAGCCCCGUUGGGAAGGCCCAUACCAGGUUCUGUUAAACCACUGACUUUGCCAUUAGAAAAGCUGAGAGAGUCACUUGGGUCCACGUUACCCACUGCAAGGAGGUAUGUACACAUAUGAGCACUGCUGAUCACACACAGAGUUAGGAGAAGAACCGAGUACCAACAGGGUCCGGGGGUCACCUCCUUAACGAAGAUUUCCUAUCCCGACCGUUCAUCACUGUGUGUGCUCCUAGAGGUGUGAGUAUGGGGUGGUACCUAGCAGAGAGACUAAGGGCAGGAGAGGGUUGGCGAUUUUUGGGAAGAGUAGAGACUCUGAGCUGUAUCAUAGUCUAAUCUUUCUGAUACAUUCAGAUCCACCACCUUCCGGUACUAAUCAUACGAUACCGUUGUCAUUGAGAAGAAGUAGAAGAUAAACUAUAUAAUACACUGAUGAGUGACAUACAGAAUAAGGAGUCAAAGAAGAUCAAGAUGUAGGAUUUAAGGUAAACAUUAAACAACUUCCUAGGAAAGCAGACAACUGUACAGGGACUGGGCGGGUCAGAUUGAGGUACUCGGCCAACCCACCUCGGUUCACCUUAAUUCCUGAUGAGUACCAGUGGUAUAGAUACAAGAAUGGCACCGAGAACUUAGAUGAUUUUAAUGGCUGAAAGGUAAUCGUGAAUGUGACUUACUUAGGUUUGAAAGAUGAAUAGAAAAUUCUUAACCUCACAGCACCUAUAACUGAUGUAGGGUGGGCUAGUACCAGCAAAGGACGCAUACGACAGAAAUUACCACAAAGGGUGGUUAGGAACUUGCGCCCUGGGGUUAUUGGUCCAACCAGUUCGAGUUAGUCAUCAGAGGCCAGUUAUAGGAGGCCAAAGUAGGCACAGGAGGAGUUUUGACCAGGAUGGGAGUAGCUUUGUCUAGAUGGAUGCUAUUGGCAUCCUCAGGGAAGUUCCAGAUGAAUACAAAGCUAUGAAUCAAAUAUGUGAAGGCUUUAACACUACAUUAUUUUGGUGGUUGACAAUAAUAAAAAAAAUGUGGAUGGGAUUAAUGACAUCUUUUAUAAUCAACAGAGAUUAAUGAAUGAAAACGGGGAUGCAGUAAAGAGGUUCUCUGACCAAAUAUCCGCCACCUCCCUCAUGACCUGGUAAAAUAGACUGACUCUCGAUAUGUUAUUGGCAGAAGAGGGCGGUGUAGGUAGAAUGAUUAGGUUCAUUGCUGUACGUACAUUCCUGAUAACACAGCCCAUGUUUGGGAAAUGGAAAAGUGUUGUAAGAACUGUAUUAUGGGCUGCUUUCACCUGUAUGAGUGUGUUUGUGUUGUGUGGAUGUUGUCUCGUCCCAUGUGUGAGAGGUUUAAUCACCAGGACUCUAGAGAGAUCGAUGACGCAGCAGAUGGUGAGAUAUGGACCAAUUCCGAGCUUCGAUCAGUGGGAGGACGAAAGCGGGCCUCCAGGCCAGGAAGAUGGCUCCCUUUCUUUUGAUCAUGAGAUGCCAAUGUUUGAUGAAACAAUUUCCCUCAUUAAAAUGCAAAUCAAUAUAUAACAUUUCUGACAUGCAUUUUUCUGGAUAUUUUUGUUGUUAUUCUGUCUCUCACUGUUCAAAUAAACCUACCAUUAAAAUUAUAGACUGAUCCUUUCUUUGUCAGUGGGCAAACAUACAAAAUCAGCAGGGGAUCAAAUACUUUUUUCCCCCACUGUAGGUAGGAGAAAGCCCAUGUAAUGCUUUGUAGGUUAGCAGUAAAACCUUGAAAUCAGCCCUUGCCUUAACAGGAAGCCAGUGUAGAGAGGCUAGCACUGGAGUAAUA